rnacentral:rRNA from 1 species
UACGGAGGAUCCAAGCGUUAUCCGGAUUUAUUGGGUUUAAAGGGUGCGUAGGCGGCUCAUUAAGUCAGGGGUGAAAGACGGUAGCUUAACUAUCGCAGUGCCUUUGAUACUGAUGAGCUUGAAUGUAGUUGAGGUAGGCGGAAUGUGACAAGUAGCGGUGAAAUGCAUAGAUAUGUCACAGAACACCAAUUGCGAAGGCAGCUUACUAAAGUACGACUGACGCUGAGGCACGAAAGCGUGGGAUCAAACAGG